UGGCGGUGAUGACGAUAUCUUAUACCAUCAAACUAUGAAAGCUCUCUGGAGCUUGUUGAUGUCAAAGUUUUAUUCGCUGAGCCU